rnacentral:rRNA from 1 species
UACGAAGGGUGCAAGCGUUACUCGGAAUUACUGGGCGUAAAGCGUGCGUAGGUGGUUCGUUAAGUCUGAUGUGAAAGCCCUGGGCUCAACCUGGGAAUGGCAUUGGAUACUGGCGACCUAGAGUGCGGUAGAGGGUAGCGGAAUUCCCGGUGUAGCAGUGAAAUGCGUAGAUAUCGGGAGGAACAUCCGUGGCGAAGGCGGCUACCUGGACCAGCACUGACACUGAGGCACGAAAGCGUGGGGAGCAAGCAGG